UGGGGAAUAUUGCACAAUGGAGGGAACUCUGAUGCAGCGACGCCGCGUGAACGAAGAAGGCUUUCGAGUCGUAAAGUUCUUUUAUAUGGGAAGAUAAUGACGGUACUAUAAGAAGAAGCCCCGGCUAACUACGUGCCAGCAGCCGCGGUAAUACGUAGGGGGCUAGCGUUGUCCGGAAUCACUGGGCGUAAAGGGUUCGCAGGCGGAAAUGCAAGUCAGGUGUAAAAGGCAGUAGCUUAACUACUGUAAGCAUUUGAAACUGCAUAUCUUGAGAAGAGUAGAGGUAAGUGGAAUUUUUAGUGUAGCGGUGAAAUGCGUAGAUAUUAAAAAGAAUACCGGUGGCGAAGGCGACUUACUGGGCUCAUUCUGACGCUGAGGAACGAAAGCGUGGGUAGCAAACAGG
rnacentral:rRNA from 1 species